AUACGGCCGUACCAUGCUGAAUAUACCGGUUCUCGUUAGAUCACCAAAGUCAAGCAUCAUCGGGCGCGGUGGGGUGGGUGACCACCUGGGAACACCGCGUGCCGUU